AACGUCUGUAGACAAUGCAAUCAGUAAGUUAGACAGAUACACAAGAGAUUGGCUCCAAACCGCAAGAAGUUAUACAAACAGUCUGUGUUACAGAUACAACCCUUUUCAACCAAGAUUUAACGAAAGUCUAGCUGGAAGACCAUUUGAUUUCUUUCCUAGAGCUACUGAAAUAGAACCUCGCCCUACCUGGUCUCCUACAUGCUCAUCCUCUUCCAAGAGGUUUUACUUUCCGAGAACUGUCACACAUGAUGGGAAAACAUGUUGGAUGGUAUUUCCAUGGUAUCAAAUGCAUUGUCCCUACGUUACAUGCAC